rnacentral:rRNA from 1 species
UACAGAGGUCCCGAGCGUUGUUCGGAUUCACUGGGCGUAAAGGGUGCGUAGGUGGCGAGGUAAGUCGGAUGUGAAAGCUCGGAGCUCAACUCCGAAAUGGCAUUGGAAACUACCUUGCUCGAGGGUUGGAGGGGGGACUGGAAUACUUGGUGUAGCAGUGAAAUGCGUAGAUAUCGUAAGGAAGACCAGUGGCGAAGGCGGGUCUCUGGACAGUUCCUGACGCUGAGGCACGAAGGUCAGGGGAGCAAACGGG